rnacentral:rRNA from 1 species
UGAGGAAUAUUGGUCAAUGGGCGGGGAGCCUGAACCAGCCAAGCCGCGUGAGGGAAGAAGGUACAGCGUAUCGUAAACCUCUUUUGUCAGGGAACAAAGGCGGGGACUAGUCCCCGGAUGAGGGUACCUGAAGAAAAAGCAUCGGCUAACUCCGUGCCAGCAGCCCGGUAAUAUACGUCU